rnacentral:rRNA from 1 species
UACGUAGGGGGCAAGCGUUGUCCGGAAUCAUUGGGCGUAAAGAGCGUGUAGGCGGUCCGGUAAGUCGGCUGUGAAAGUCCAGGGCUCAACCCUGGGAUGCCGGUCGAUACUGCCGGACUAGAGUUCGGAAGAGGCGAGUGGAAUUCCUGGUGUAGCGGUGAAAUGCGCAGAUAUCGGGAGGAACACCUAUGGCGAAGGCAGCUCGCUGGGACGUUACUGACGCUGAGACGCGAAAGCGUGGGGAGCGAACAGG